rnacentral:rRNA from 1 species
UGGGGAAUAUUGGACAAUGGGCGCAAGCCUGAUCCAGCCAUGCCGCGUGAGUGACGAAGGUCUUCGGAUUGUAAAGCUCUUUUGGCGGGGACGAUAAUGACGGUACCCGCAGAAUAAGCCCCGGCUAACUUCGUGCCAGCAGCCGCGGUAAUACGAAAGGGGCUAGCGUUGUUCGGAAUUACUGGGCGUAAAGCGCACGUAGGCGGUCGUGUAAGAUGGGGGUGAAAUCCCGGAGCUCAACUCCGGAACUGCCUUCAUGACUGCAUGGCUAGAGGAUGCGAGAGGUUGACGGAAUUCCGAGUGUAGAGGUGAAAUUCGUAGAUAUUCGGAAGAACACCAGUGGCGAAGGCGGCCAACUGGCGCAUUUCUGACGCUGAGGUGCGAAAGCGUGGGGAGCAAACGGGAUUAGAUACCCGGGUAGUCCCUGAGCGGGCUGGCAAGGCGCAU